AGCCUAACGAAAUUUUAUGGUCUUGGGGCCGAGGCAGCAAGGGGCCGCUCGUGGCAGAGCCUCCAGCCUUCCCUAGGUUUGAAUGCUUAUGUGACGUGCAUCGAGAAGCAAAUAAAUGAUGAACAAGGUUUUCAGCGAAGUUUUCCUGCAUAACAAGCACUGAAAAGGUAAUUUGUGAAUAAUCUGUGGACAUGCCUGAAUGGAAGAGAAAGCCUAAAACUAUAGCUGGAACUCCACUUGCUAGACUGUCAACCCAAGUGGCUUUUGGAGCAGUGGUAUCUUCAGUAUUGAUGGGAUUUGCUUUUUAUCAGGCAUAUGGAACAAGAGCAACUGAAAAAUUUCAUCUAAACGAACCUGGUCUUACUGACGAGGAAAGACAGGUAUACCAAGACAUCAAGCUGAAGAAAAUGAUUCCAUACCUGACCCGGAAAGAGGUGGAAGAGCGCGAACAAAAGUACCGCGAAACGAGAACAAAUAUGUAAUGGAAACCACGAGGAAGUCCCUUCAAAAUUACCAUAAUUGUUUUGCCGUGUGUGCUUGGAACAGUCGAGACGACUCAGUUCGGAUGAGGCAGGCCGUGCCGUGCGACGAUUGGUCGUGAGCCGUGACGACAGUGUCGGGCGAUGCGGGUGCCGCUCGACCCACACGCGGGACGACGGUGCAAUGCAGCGCGGUGAUACGGUGGCUGACCACAGCGGCAGAAGCAGCCACCGCGCGACCGGUGCCUGGGAGACCGAGUGACGGUGCUCCAGGCGAGUCGGACUCGAGUCAUGUCGCAAAGUCAGCGCGCCAACAAGCUGAGUCGGCGGGCGGGCGGCGGCGCCCGGCGCGACGCCGGCCCGCCGCCGCCCGCCCGCCCGGACUUGGACAACAGCGACGACUUCACGGACAGCGUCUGCUUUACCAGGUCUCGGACGAGGGUAUGCCUGUCACAAUCCUCCAGCAGUGUGCCUUCGACCACCAUCGGGCAGUCGCGGUCCUCCGUCAACGUGACCGAGGCGGUCCGGCAGCAGUCACAGUCCUUCGCGGCGGCCGGCGCAGCGCGACCGUCUUCGCCCGCCCGUCGGACGCGGUCUACCAAACUGCACGCUCCAUCGGGCGCGCCUAAACCCAACCCUCCGCCAUACCCCCCAAAAGCCAGCGCCUCGUCGGGCGUAUCGGGAUCCGUCCCUUCGUCAAAGUCCUCAAAAGCUACCCCUCCGCCAAAGCUGUCCACGUCUGUCCAUCCGUCCCCGUGCCCAGACGCCGCGCUGCCGUCCGACUCCUCAGCCGCCAGCGGGGCGUCGGAGCUCGCGAGGUGUCGGCCGCCGCCGGA